CACUGACACCAACCGUUUAUAUACUGUCUAUGCUGCCAGCACAGGCAAACUGUUUCAUCAAGGACAUCGCCAAAACAAGAAGAAUGUGAAGAAGAAUGUUGAGCAUGUGUUGGUUGCGUGCAGGAUUAAUUCUACAGCAGCCAUGUGUUGUCUUCUUCACGAAAAAGAUCCUAUUUGAACAGUAUACACAAUCAAAUGCUUUACAGUGGGCAUGGAUGAAGACGCCAUCAACGAGGCCAUUGAAGAAACCAGUGUUGGGAUUUAUGUUCUUAAAGAACAUGCUUCAAGUGAUGAA